GUAGUCGCACGGAACGUAGCCGGUCAUAACCGGAGGAAGGUGGGGAGUGACGUCAAGUCAGCAUGGCCUUUAUAUCCUGGGCUACACACACGCUACAAUGGGAAGGGACAAUAGGUUGCGAAGCCGCGAGGCGGAGCCAAUCCAGCAAACUUCCUCAGUUCAGAUUGCAGGCUGCAACUCGCCUGCAUGAAGUUGGAGUUGCUAGUAAACGCAGGUCAGCCAUACUGCGUUGAAUACGUUCCCGGGGCUU
rnacentral:rRNA from 1 species